rnacentral:ncRNA from 1 species
UUCGAAUUAAACCACAUGCUCCACCGCUUGUGGUUUAAUUCGAAGCAACGCGAAGAACCUUACCAGGGCUUGACAUCCCGCUGACCCCUCCAGAGAUGGAGGUUUCCUUCGGGACAGCGGUGACAGGUGGUGCAUGGUUGUCGUCAGCUCGUGUCGUGAGAUGUUGGGUUCAGUCCCGCAACGAGCGCAACCCUUGUCGUUAGUUGCCAGCAUUUCGGAUGGGCACUCUAACGAGACAGCCGGUGAAAGCCGGAGGAAGGUGGGGAUGACGUCAAAUCAUCAUGCCCCUUAUGUCCUGGGCUACACACGUGCUACAAUGGCUGGUACAAAGGGCAGCGAACCCGCGAGGGGGAGCCAAUCCCAAAAAGCCAGUCUCAGUUCGGAUCGCAGGCUGCAACUCGCCUGCGUGAAGCCGGAAUCGCUAGUAAUCGCGGAUCAGCAUGCCGCGGUGAAUACGUUCCCGGGCCUUGUACACACCGCCCGUCACACCACGAGAGUUUGCAACACCCGAAGUCGGUGAGGCAACCUUUUAGGAGCCAGCCGCCGAAGGUGGGGCAGAUGAUUGGGGUGAAGUCGUAACAAGGUAUCCCUACCGGAAGGUGGGGAUGGAUCACCUCCUUU